UACGGAGGGUGCAAGCGUUAUCCGGAUUCACUGGGGUUAAAGGGUGCGUAGGUGGGCAGGUAAGUCCGUGGUGAAAUCCCUGAGCUUAACUCGGGAACUGCCAUGGAUACUAUUUGUCUUGAAUAUUGUGGAGGUAAGCGGAAUAUGUCAUGUAGCGGUGAAAUGCUUAGAUAUGACAUAGAACACCAAUUGCGAAGGCAGCUUACUACACAGUUAUUGACACUGAGGCACGAAAGCGUGGGGAUCAAACAGG
rnacentral:rRNA from 1 species